UCCUACGGGAGGCAGCAGUGGGGAAUAUUGCGCAAUGGGGGGAACCCUGACGCAGCCAUGCCGCGUGAAUGAGGAAGGCCUUCGGGUUGUAAAGUUCUUUCGGUAAUGAGGAAGGGAUGUUGUUAAAUAGAUAGCAUCAUUGACGUUAAUUACAGAAGAAGCACCGGCUAACUCCGUGCCAGCAGCCGCGGUAAUACGGAGGGUGCGAGCGUUAAUCGGAAUAACUGGGCGUAAAGGGCACGCAGGCGGACUUUUAAGUGAGAUGUGAAAUCCCCGAGCUUAACUUGGGAACUGCAUUUCAGAUUGGGAGUCUAGAGUACUUUAGGGAGGGGUAGAAUUCCACGUGUAGCGGUGAAAUGCGUAGAGAUGUGGAGGAAUACCGAAGGCGAAGGCAGCCCCUUGGGAAUGUACUGACGCUCAUGUGCGAAAGCGUGGGGAGCAAACAGGAUUAGAUACCCUGGUAGUCC
rnacentral:rRNA from 1 species